rnacentral:rRNA from 1 species
UACAGAGGUCCCAAGCGUUGUUCGGAUUCACUGGGCGUAAAGGGUGCGUAGGUGGUGAGGUAAGUCGGAUGUGAAAUCUCCGAGCUCAACUCGGAAACUGCAUUGGAAACUACCUUGCUCGAGGGUUGGAGGGGGGACUGGAAUGCUUGGUGUAGCAGUGAAAUGCGUAGAUAUCAAGCGGAACACCAGUGGCGAAGGCGGGUCUCUGGACAGUUCCUGACACUGAGACACGAAGGCCAGGGGAGCAAACGGG